rnacentral:ncRNA from 1 species
UACUACUAGGGGUGCCAGUAAUGGCUGAGAGGAAACUAUUCCAACUCUUAUGAACCUGAUCUAGUUAAGACUAGCGGAGGGAAGUGGUUAGA